AGAAACUUAAAGGAAGUUGACGGGGGCCCGCACAAGCGGUGGAGCAUGUGGUUUAAUUCGAGGCAACGCGAAGAACCUUACCAGGCCUUGACAUGCAGAGAACUUCCUAGAGAUGGAUUGGUGCCUUCGGGAACUCUGACACAGGUGCUGCAUGGCUGUCGUCAGCUCGUGUCGUGAGAUGUUGGGUUAAGUCCCGUUAACGAGCGCAACCCUUGUCCUUAGUUACCAGCACGUUAUGGUGGGCACUCUAAGGAGACUGCCGGUGACAAACCGGGGGAAGGUGGGGAUGACGUCAAGUCAUCACUGGCCCUUACGGCCUGGGCUACACACGUGCUACAAUGGUCGGUACAAAGGGUUGCCAAGCCGCGAGGUGGAGCUAAUCCCAUAAAAACCGAUCGUAGUCCGGAUCGCAGUCUGCAACUCGACUGCGUGAAGUCGGAAUCGCUAGUAAUCGUGAAUCAGAAUGUCACGGUGAAUACGUUCCCGGGCCUU
rnacentral:rRNA from 1 species